rnacentral:rRNA from 1 species
UACGGGGGGGGCAAGCGUUGUUCGGAAUUACUGGGCGUAAAGGGCCAGUAGGCGGCCAACUAAGUCCGACGUGAAAUCCCCCAAGCUUAACUUGGGAACUGCGUCGGAUACUGGAUGGCUUGAAUUCGGGAGAGGGAUGCAGAAUUCCAGGUGUAGCGGUGAAAUGCGUAGAUAUCUGGAGGAAUACCGGUGGCGAAGGCGGCAUCCUGGACCGGCAUUGACGCUGAGGAGCGAAAGCUAGGGGAGCAAACGGG